UGGGGAAUAUUGGACAAUGGGCGCAAGCCUGAUCCAGCCAUGCCGCGUGAGUGAUGAAGGCCCUAGGGUUGUAAAGCUCUUUCACCGGUGAAGAUAAUGACGGUAACCGGAGAAGAAGCCCCGGCUAACUUCGUGCCAGCAGCCGCGGUAAUACGAAGGGGGCUAGCGUUGUUCGGAUUUACUGGGCGUAAAGCGCACGUAGGCGGACUUUUAAGUCAGGGGUGAAAUCCCGGGGCUCAACCCCGGAACUGCCUUUGAUACUGGAAGUCUUGAGUAUGGUAGAGGUGAGUGGAAUUCCGAGUGUAGAGGUGAAAUUCGUAGAUAUUCGGAGGAACACCAGUGGCGAAGGCGGCUCACUGGACCGUUACUGACGCUGAGGUGCGAAAGCGUGGGGAGCAAACAGG
rnacentral:rRNA from 1 species